rnacentral:rRNA from 2 species
UGGGGAAUAUUGGACAAUGGGCGAAAGCCUGAUCCAGCAAUGCCGCGUGAGUGAAGAAGGCCUUCGGGUUGUAAAGCUCUUUUACCCGGGAAGAUAAUGACUGUACCGGGAGAAUAAGCCCCGGCUAACUCCGUGCCAGCAGCCGCGGUAAUACGGAGGGGGCUAGCGUUGUUCGGAAUUACUGGGCGUAAAGCGUACGUAGGCGGCUAUUUAAGUCAGAGGUGAAAGCCCGGGGCUCAACUCCGGAAUUGCCUUUGAAACUGGGUAGCUUGAACAUGGGAGAGGUAAGUGGAAUUCCGAGUGUAGAGGUGAAAUUCGUAGAUAUUCGGAGGAACACCAGUGGCGAAGGCGGCUUACUGGACCAUUGUUGACGCUGAGGUACGAAAGCGUGGGGAGCAAACAGG